GACGAACGCCGGCGGCGUGCUUAACACAUGCAAGUCGAACGGUAAGGCCCUUCGGGGUACACGAGUGGCGAACGGGUGAGUAACACGUGGGUGAUCUGCCCUGCACUUCGGGAUAAGCCUGGGAAACUGGGUCUAAUACCGGAUAGGACCACUGCCUGCAUGGGUGGUGGUGGAAGGCUUUUGCGGUGUGGGAUGGGCCCGCGGCCUAUAAGCUUGUUGGUGGGGUGAUGGCCUACCAAGGCGACGACGGGUUGCCGGCCUGGGGUGGUGACCGGUCUCGAUGGGUCUCAGUGCCGCCCCAAGCACCUACGGGACGGAUCCGAGGGGAAUACUGGGCAAUGGGCGAAGGCCUGCUGCGGCGGCGCCGCGUGAGGGAAGACGUCCUUCGGGUUGUAAACCUCUUUCCGCACCGGCGAAGCGCAAGUGACGGUAGGUGCAGAAGAAGGACCGGCCAACUACGUGCCAGCCGCCGCCGUAA
rnacentral:rRNA from 1 species